UACGUAGGGGGCAAGCGUUGUCCGGAUUUAUUGGGCGUAAAGAGCGUGUAGGCGGCUUCACAGGUCCGCUGUGAAAACUCGAGGCUCAACCUCGAGCUGUCGGUGGAAACCGUGUGGCUAGAGUCCGGAAGAGGAGAGUGGAAUUCCCGGUGUAGCGGUGAAAUGCGCAGAUAUCGGGAAGAACACCCGUGGCGCAAGGCGGCUCUCUGGGACGGUACUGACGCUGAGACGCGAAGCGUGGGGAGCGAACAGG
rnacentral:rRNA from 1 species